rnacentral:rRNA from 1 species
GAUGAACGCUGGCGGCGUGCCUAAUACAUGCAAGUCGAGCGAACAGAUGAGGAGCUUGCUCCUCUGACGUUAGCGGCGGACGGGUGAGUAACACGUGGAUAACCUACCUAUAAGACUGGGAUAACUACGGGAAACCGGAGCUAAUACCGGAUAAUAUAUUGAACCGCAUGGUUCAAUAGUGAAAGACGGUUUUGCUGUCACUUAUAGAUGGAUCCGCGCCGCAUUAGCUAGUUGGUAAGGUAACGGCUUACCAAGGCAACGAUGCGUAGCCGACCUGAGAGGGUGAUCGGCCACACUGGAACUGAGACACGGUCCAGACUCCUACGGGAGGCAGCAGUAGGGAAUCUUCCGCAAUGGGCGAAAGCCUGACGGAGCAACGCCGCGUGAGUGAUGAAGGUCUUCGGAUCGUAAAACUCUGUUAUUAGGGAAGAACAAAUGUGUAAGUAACUAUGCACGUCUUGACGGUACCUAAUCAGAAAGCCACGGCUAACUCCGUG